GCCUGGGUGGCUCAGUCAGUUAAACGCCUGACUUCUGCUCAGGUCAUUGUGGGUUCAAGCCCUGCAUCAGGCU
rnacentral:tRNA from 1 species